CAAUAGCGUAUAUUAAAGUUGUUGCAGUUAAAAAGCUCGUAGUUGGAUUUCUGGUUGAAGCGACCGGUCGGGCGUUGAUUCGUCUGCACUGGGGUCGGUUUUGGCCAUCCUCUAGGAAAGUGCGUCUGGUAUUAAGUUAUCGGGCGUAUGAUCCUGGUCUUUUACUGUGAAAAAAUUAGAGUGUUUAAAGCAGGCCUUCGCCUUGAAUACAUUAGCAUGGAAUAAUAAGAUAGAACUUUGGUCUAUUUUGUUGGUUCGCAGACCGAAGUAAUGAUUAAUAGGGAUAGUUGGGGGUAUUUAUAUUCCGAUGUCAGAGGUGAAAUUCUUAGAUUUUCGGAAGAUAAACUUAUGCGAAAGCAUUUACCAAGGAUGUUUUCAUUA
rnacentral:rRNA from 1 species